rnacentral:rRNA from 1 species
AGAGUUUGAUCCUGGCUCAGAACGAACGCUGGCGGCGCGUUUAAGGCAUGCAAGUCGAACGGAAAGGUUCCUUCGGGAACCCGAGAGUGGCAAACGGGUGAGUAACACGUGGAUAAUCAACCCUAGAGUGUGGAAUAACUUUAAGAAAUUAGAGCUAAUACCGCAUAACAUCAUUUGGACAUAUGUUCAGAUGAUCAAAGGAGCAAUCUGCUUUAGGACGAGUCCGCGUUCUAUUAGCUA